rnacentral:rRNA from 1 species
UACAGAGGUCUCAAGCGUUGUUCGGAUUCAUUGGGCGUAAAGGGUGUGUAGGUGGCGCCGUAAGUCGGGUGUGAAAUCUGGGACUUAACUCCGAAACUGCAUUCGAUACUGCGGUGCUUGAGGACUGGAGAGGAGACUGGAAUUCAUGGUGUAGCAGUGAAAUGCGUAGAGAUCAUGAGGAAGACCAGUGGCGAAGGCGGGUCUCUGGACAGUUCCUGACACUGAGACACGAAGGCCAGGGGAGCAAACGGG